GGCAUGCCGAGUGAUGAAGAACUGGCUCUGACAGAGGUGACUGAAUUCCAGAAGAGCAAAGAUAACGUUCUAGAAGAGAGUAAGAAAAUGUUUGAAGAUGUCCGUGCAGAUUGUUGUGACAUCAGAGAAAUCCUGUUGAAAUUCCAGGAGCGGAAAGAGAAGUUUCCCGACCCAUACUGCGAUGCUUACAUCGGUUUUUGCCUGCCUAAGCUUUUAAAUCCAUUAGUCAGAGUUCAGUUAAUAAAUUGGAGUCCCCUUGAGAAUUCUACAGACCUGAAAGAGAUGCCCUGGUUCAGAGCUGUAGAAGGAUUCAGCGAUG